GGCACUUCUUCAUGCUGCCUUGCGAAGAAGCUGGCUUGCUUCCUCUUUGUCUUCCGCCAUGAUUGUAGAUUUCCUGAGGCCUCCCAAGCUGUGCUGAACUACCAAACCAAUGCAGAACUCCUAUGUGCUGAUGGUGGUCUUACAUUUCCCUAAGUUUCUGCCGACUAAACUGUGCACACGUUCUCAGGACCUCCUGAAGCUGCGUCACAGGCACUAAUCAAAGAACACAACCAAGAGUUUGGCCUUUUCUUCAGCACUGGGAAUUGUGAUCCAAAGCUUUUCCUGAUGAAGCACAAAGUUGGAGAAAAAAAACGCAAACUAAACAACAACAAUGAAACAGAACAGAGUGAAUCUGCUGUAGCUCAAGAGAGGACGUAGCUGCCCCCACUCCGCAUCCCCGGGCUCGGGUUUGCCUUGCUGACCUCUGCUGCCACCUGGUGCCGCACAGAGAAACUGAGGAGAAACCACAUCAGUCUCCUUCAGCCUCAGCUUCACAUCUGUGGGUCAAGUAACCCUUUCAGAAGCUGAAUAAUGUGGGAAAGCUUUCCUCUCAGGAAAAUGCACACAUCCAACUUUGAGAAGAUGCCCUUGGGGGCGCUUCAAGGAUUCUAGAUAAUAACCCCCUUUCCCGAACAUCCAAGAACCUAAGAUUUUUUUUUUUUUUUUGAGAAAGUCUCGCUCUCUCUCCCAGUCUGGAGUGCAGUGGCGUGAUCUUGGCUCACUGCCAGCUCCACCUCCCAGGUUCACGCCAUUCUCCUGCUUCAGCCUCCCUAGUAGCUGGGGCUACAGGCACCUGCCACCAAACCCGGCUAAUUUUUUUGUAUUUUUAGUAGAGACGGGGUUUCACCGUGUUAGCCAGGAUCGUCUUGAUCUCCUGACCUUGUGAUCCACCCGCCUCGGCCUCCCAAAUUGCUGGGAUUACAGAUGUGAGCCACCGCACCUGGUCCAAGAGCCCAAGUUUUAGAUCUAGAGUGAUGUCAGCAUGACAUUGAUUUCCUGAGGCCCAGGGGCGAAGGAGCUGAGGACAGCAGAGGGGUGAAGGAACUCAGCUACAGACAGCAGCAGCUGAUGCACAGGCCUCCCAGCGCCUGAAGUCACCCGGAAUUGGGAAGUGCUCAGAAGCUUACAAAGCUGCCUCGAGCAGAAGAAUCCCAGACUUCUUAGAGAACCCAGUGACUUUUUGCACCUUAAAUCUGUGAAAUCCUCAUGCUUUCUUCUGCCGUAUCCAUCGUUCAAACAAACAUGAGGCAAAGCUAGACACAUUCCUGAAGGAACCCAAGAAAUUCCUCUCUUUCUCUCUCUGGAAUGAAAUGAAUUCUCUAGACCACCAGUUCUAACCUUCAAAAACGAAACCUGUUUGUGAGAUCUCCUUCAAAUACUACUGUAGACCCCAGUGUUUAUUCAUUAAAUUUUUUAAACAUUUGUUUUAUUUGGAAUCAAA
rnacentral:lncRNA from 1 species